AGCAGCUGACGAAUCCCAAAUAGGACGAAAUUCACAUCCUGGAU
rnacentral:hammerhead_ribozyme from 1 species